rnacentral:rRNA from 1 species
GACGAACGCUGGCGGCGUGCUUAACACAUGCAAGUCGAACGGAAAGGCCCUGCUUUUGUGGUGUGCUCGAGUGGCGAACGGGUGAGUAACACGUGAGUAACCUGCCCUUGACUUUGGGAUAACUUCAGGAAACUGGGGCUAAUACCGGAUAUGAGCUCCUGCUGCAUGGUGGGGGUUGGAAAGUUUCGGCGGUUGGGGAUGGACUCGCGGCUUAUCAGCUUGUUGGUGGGGUAGUGGCUUACCAAGGCUUUGACGGGUAGCCGGCCUGAGAGGGUGACCGGCAACAUUGGGACUGAGAUACGGCCCAGACUCAUACGGGAGGCAGCAGUGGAGAAUAUUGCACAAUGGGCGGAAGCCUGAUGCAGCAACGCCGCGUGCGGGAUGACGGCCUUCGGGUUGUAAACCGCUUUCGCCUGUGAAGAAGAGUGAGUGACGGUAAUGGGUAAAGAAGCACCGGCUAACUACGUG